UACGUAGGGGGCAAGCGUUGUCCGGAUUUAUUGGGCGUAAAGAGCGUGUAGGCGGCCAAGCAGGUCAGCUGUGAAAACUCGAGGCUCAACCUCGAGACGUCGGUUGAAACCGCUUGGCUAGAGUCCGGAAGAGGAGAGUGGAAUUCCCGGUGUAGCGGUGAAAUGGCGCAGAUAUCGGGAAGAACACCCGUGGCGAAGGCGGGUCUCUGGGCCGAUCUGACACUGGAGGAGCG
rnacentral:rRNA from 1 species